rnacentral:lncRNA from 1 species
UUGAAUUUUUUGGGAUUGCUUUUCAUAACCAUUGUGGUCUGAUACUCUGCUUGAAUCGUUUCAGAUGGUGAACUUUGAUAAGGUGGCAAUUGAAACACCCACAAAAUGGCAUCUGAUAAAUAUUAGUUAUAUACAUGAAGAUAUUUCACUCUCCUAGAUCUAUAAAAUUUGUAAAACACACCCCCCUCACACUCUAGAAUACCAAACCAGAGAGAUGCACUGGGCUCCAAAGCCCCCCACUCAACCACAAACAAAAAAAAAAAAAAAAAAAAAAAAAAAAAACAAUCCCAUAUAAAACCAUCCCCCUAUGAGAAUUAAAAUUUGGAGGGAAUAAAGAUUAACAUAUAAAACCAUCCCUCUAUGAGAAUUAAAAUUUGGAGGGAAUAAAGAUUAAAAGAAAAACCCACCUAGAAACCUAUAAGUUUUACAAUUAAUUUGUGUCGUUCUAACUAUCAAAGCUAAAUCUGAUCAACUAUCUUCACACUGCAAG